rnacentral:ncRNA from 1 species
GUCUAGAUUUUGGUUCCUUCAACAAGGAUUAAAAGGGAAUCAGGUGAAAAUCCUGAACAGUCCCGCUGCUGUAAGUUUCACUGAAUCGUUCAAGCAUCACAUUGCCACUGUUUUCCAACGGGAAGGCGCUUGACCGGGAACAAGUCAGAAGACCUGCCAAGACCA